rnacentral:rRNA from 1 species
UUGAACGCUGGCGGCAUGCUUUACACAUGCAAGUCGAACGGUAACAGGCCUUCGGGUGCUGACGAGUGGCGAACGGGUGAGUAAUGCAUCGGAACGUGCCCAAUCGUGGGGGAUAACGUAGCGAAAGUUACGCUAAUACCGCAUACGCCCUGAGGGGGAAGGCAGGGGAUCUUCGGACCUUGUGCGAAUGGAGCGGCCGAUGUCAGAUUAGCUAGUUGGUGGGGUAAAGGCUCACCAUGGCGACGAUCAGUAGCUGGUCUGAGAGGAUGAUCAGCCACACUGGGACUGAGACACGGCCCAGACUCCUACGGGAGGCAGCAGUGGGGAAUUUUGGACAAUGGGCGAAAGCCUGAUCCAGCCAUUCCGCGUGAGUGAAGAAGGCCUUCGGGUUGUAAAGCUCUUUCAGACGGAAAGAAAUCGGGCGGGUGAAUAGCCUGCCUGGAUGACGGUACUGUCAGAAGAAGCACCGGCUAACUACGU